rnacentral:sRNA from 1 species
CUCCCUCUCCGUCCUUGUUCAAGCCCCUGCCCCCAAUCCCCGAGCCCGCAGAAGGUGUGGGUUGGGUGGCAUUGGGUGAAGUCAGAAUAAACACUUUCAGAAAGCCCCUAGCUUCACGUCUUAGGAGUCUCCCAACGUUCUGGACUAGGGUUUUAUGACCCCAGCUUCUCUAUUUUCUAGAACUCCUGAGCUGAGAAAACCGGAGGGAGGAAGCCCUUGUCUAGAACCGUUUCAUGCGUCAAUUAUAACACGUCAGAGCCUGGGCCCUCCUUCUGGGGAAAGAUUAACAAAGCCUUAGUUCCCUUGCUCCUGGAUUAACCAGUGGUUAGUGGAGAUGCGAGAAAAGACGCUAAUGCUGGCAAGGCAAUAACAUGGACUUCCUCGCCUUAUUCCUCUUUUCAUCAGAGAUGGCAAAACCAGCAGCUCCUUCUGCCUCGAGUUGCUUACUGAACUGAAAGGAAAGGAGUGUACACAAAGAAGCCAUAGGAACAAAAGCCAGCUGGUGGUGCGCAGGUAUAUCUCCACAAGCGUCCCGCACCGUUAAGAGACAGAACCACGGGGACUUGCUGGCCUCAGUCUAGCUCCAAGUUCAGUCUCAAGGGAACAAGAUAGACCUCUGAGCUACUGCAGUGUCUGGCACUGGGCCAUAAAAGACGAACUGGGAAGGGACCCCUAUUCCUUCACAUGAAGUAAAGCCAGGGCCCCACUCUGCUGUCUUCCAAGACUAGAAGCACAGCACAGGAAGCGAAGGUAAAACGGAGGGUGGAGCAAAGGAAGCUUGUGGGAGGAAACCAUGGGCAAGCACAUCAGUGCUAAGGCUACCCACUACAGAGGGUAGGAAGAAUGCUAGCCCAAACUCAAGGGGUUUUUUUGGGUUUUUUGUUUUGUUUUGUUUUGUUUUUUAGUUUAGUUUUGUUUUUGUUUGUUUUUUUUUUAAGUUUUCAUUUCACACCCAAUCCUGUGUUGAGUUUUGAGUCUCAAAGCCCCCCCCCCUUGAAUAAUAA